rnacentral:rRNA from 1 species
GAACGCUAGCUACAGGCUUAACACAUGCAAGUCGAGGGCAGCGAGAGUGUAGCAAUACACUGUCGGCGACCGGCGCACGGGUGAGUAACGCGUAAUCCAACCUGGCCCAUAGUAGGGGAUAGCCCGGCGAAAGUCGGAUUAAUACCCUAUGUUCUUUACAGCGGACAUCUGACGUAAAGCAAAGAUUUAUCGCUAUGGGAUGGGGAUGCGUCCGAUUAGCUUGCCGGCGGGGUAACGGCCCACCGGGGCUACGAUCGGUAGGGGUUCUGAGAGGAAGGUCCCCCACAUUGGUACUGAGACACGGACCAAACUCCUACGGGAGGCAGCAGUGAGGAAUAUUGGUCAAUGGGCGCGAGCCUGAACCAGCCAAAAGUAGCGUGCAGGAAGACGGCCCUACGGGUUGUAAACUGCUUUUGCCGGGGAAUAAAGUGCGCCACGUGUGGUGUUUUGUAUGUACCCGGAGAAUAAGGACCGGCUAAUUCCGUGCCAGCAGCCGC